GACGAACGCUGGCGGCGUGCUUAACACAUGCAAGUCGAACGGAAAGGCCUCUUUCGGGGGGUACUCGAGUGGCGAACGGGUGAGUAACACGUGAGUAACCUGCCCUUGACUUUGGGAUAACUUCAGGAAACUGGGGCUAAUACCGGAUAGGAGCUCCUGCUGCAUGGUGGGGGUUGGACAGUUUCGGCGGUUGGGGAUGGACUCGCGGCUUAUCAGCUUGUUGGUGGGGUAGUGGCUUACCAAGGCUUUGACGGGUAGCCGGCCUGAGAGGGUGACCGGCCACAUUGGGACUGAGAUACGGCCCAGACUCCUACGGGAGGCAGCAGUGGGGAAGAUUGCACAAUGGGUGGAAGCCUGAUGCAGCAACGCCGUGUGCGGGAUGACGGCCUUCGGGUUGUAAACCGCUUUCGCUCAUGACGAAGCUUUGUGUGACGGUAGUGGGUAAAGAAGCACCGGCUAACUACGUG
rnacentral:rRNA from 1 species